UUCUGUGAAAAGAACAAACUAGUAAUUCAUUCUAUGAACACUGAAUGAAACCUCUACAACUUUUUAUUCCCUACAUCCUUUUCUGACAGGGGACAGAAAAUCAAAAACAAAAAACAAUACAAAACAAUAAAACCCCCAAACCAAAACAACAAUAAAUGAAUAGGUCCUUUACUAAAAGCACGGGUACUUAAGAAGCAUAUGAUAAAAUAGAGCUGAAUAGUUCAAUUAAGGAGAAUAGUCUCUAGUCAAAGAAUGUUCUGGAAAACUGCAUUUUCCAUCUGAGUAGCAAAAGCCCACAUCCAGCUACUGAACAAUUUCAAUGCAGCUGAUGUUACUGAUAAAGACUCCUUCUUUCCACCGUUCAUUGAAGAUAGGUUCUGAUCUCUGAUGUAUUUUUUUUGGCAUCUUUUCCAUUUAUCAAUUAUGUGUAAUUGUGUGGGUUUAUGUAUGGGUCCUCUGUUCUGUCUAUAUAGAUUGACGUGUACAUUUUUGUGUACAUGCUGUUUUUUUAUAACCAUCGCUCUCAACUAGCUUGAAAUGAGGCAUGGCGAUACCACCCACAGAAUUUUCCCCCUCAGAUUAUUUUUCCAUCAGAAAGGUGUUUGGUUUGUUUUCUUUGUUGUUGUUGUUGUUGUUUUGUUUUUCUUUUUUUUACUUAUGCCUGUGAAGAAAGGCAUUUGAUAUUUUGAAGCCAGAACACACGAAAUUCAGGAAAUUAGCAAAGGGCCAGUGAGAGGGAACAUGCAUUUAUAGAGGGUGGAUUAAAGAUUAGAGGUGACGUAAAGCAGAGAAGGAGAACACCAGGAGCAGAAAGAUUGAGGCCGGUUGUGCCAUGAGGGGAAUGGGAAAUGAGGGGCAGGGAAAGGGUGGGAACACAAAUGAAGUGUGUAUGAACAAGCCAUGAGGGGACCUAUGAUUUUAUAGAAAGUAAAAAAUACAAUGAAUAGGGACAGGACAAUACACGUGGCAGGAAAAAAAACACAUGGUGCAGGAAAGCUAGGAGUUGGAGGUCUGAGUGGGGAGGAGGAUAAGGGCAAGGUGAGCAAAUAAAGAUAGGGCACGGACUAGCCAAAACUGACGAUGUGUGAAGAAGCCACAUGAAACUAAACUAGUUUUUAAACAACUUAACACUUUGAAACAAACAAAAACCAACCAACCAACCAAAACCCAGGAGUUUGGGCAGAGAUAUCCCAUAUGGAUGGACAGUACAGCUCCCCAAAGACGCAGGUUAUUAAAUGAAAAUCACAGUGCCAAGCAUGGGGUACCUUCCUAGAAGUCAUUGAUUGAGAAUAUCCCCAAAUACUCAAAACAAGGCAGGCUAUUGCCAUCUCUUCUGGUUACCCUUCCUAACUGGAUAGUAAGACCUUGUUAUGAAAGUCAUUGCACACUAUGGGUAAAUGAAAGAAAUUAACCUUGAAUUUACCAGGAAGCUCAUUCCUCUUUCUCUUUCUGUCUGUCUCUGUCUGUCUCUCUCUCUCUCUCUCUAUAUAUAUAUAUAUAUAUAGAGAGAGAGAGAGAGAGAGAUAUGCAUAUAUAUAUAUAUAUAUAUAUAUAUAUAUAUAUACAUUCUCUUUACAUCAAAAUCUAUUCUAAAUAUUUAUGCUUUAUAACCCCCGAUUUGUGCCAUUCUCAGCCUUGGUCAGGGAAGAUUCUAAUUACAGAGAAUGUAGUUAAUAUAAUAAUUGUUCAAAAUUCGGAAAAUAAAUGCUGUGAAUCCUCAACUCUAGAUGGAACAUCUAAAUCAACCCCUUGUCUUGCCGAUCGCUCCCGAAAAAUGGAGCAGAAAACAUAUAAGAACCAGAUGGUGGGGAAAUGGGACAAAAGGCUGGCUUCAACAAUUCUACUGCUCUUCUACAUGUGGAGCCACAGCAGUUAUGGUUACCAGCACAAAACUUCUACAAGAGUAAGAGUUAAAAAUUACAGCAAAGGCUUGGGAGAGGCUCCCAAGGCCCCACUCCUGUUUGAAAAGCUAUUGGCAGUUGAUGACUACUGGAGGACUAUUGUAUGUCAAGCUUUCACCAGUUAGAAAACACUAUGUCUACUCACCCCAAAUAAGGAAGUCACAACAGACCGAAGUAUGGAUACCACCAAAGUCCAACUUGAUAAACCAAUGAUAAUUGGUAACUCCCCCAGUGUGAGAGCUAAGAUGGGUUAUUUUUUGCUGUGUCUGAGAACAACUGAUAGAAACAAACAGGUUGGGGAUAAAAUUAUCUUCCAAAUCAGGAUGGAAUUUUAGCUAUGCUAUAUACAAACAUUAAAUUUUGAGCAACUCCAUAGCUUUCCUCCAUAAGCUGAAUUAGAAAAUCUUUGAAUCAAGACACCUAUUAUUGUGUAAGUUUAUUCCUAGACAUGCCGUAGAUAGUUACACAAUAGAAGUUUAAAAAAAAAUCUAAAUGAGAGUCUUCUCUUUGUUAGAAUUGUGACAAAACAAAACAAAAAGCUGUUAAAUUUUAAAUAAACAAAUAGCUCCUUUAGUAUGAGUAUACCCGAAAUAUUGUACAAAAAACUUGUAAAUAUAUCUACUGUUUAUCUGUCUGUGAGGCUUAAGCUCUAUUUGCAAACAUCUAACAUUCUGCCUUUAAAAGAACCCCAGAUUAACUGUGCAUUGGAGUUCGGAACCACCAGAACAUCAAGUAAUAGACUGCCGAGGAUUCUAGAAGAUCCUUGUUUGAUCCUCCCGAGAAGCCUCUCUCUAAGUAAUAUUUGGAACUCUCUUCCCUCGAAGAAAACAAAACAGGAACCUAACAUGGCUUCCCUCCGAAAGGCCCAACAAACAGCUGACUGAGACAUAAGGAGAUACAACCAACCAAUGGACUGAAGUCAGGAACCUCUGAACCUUCCAAAGUUGUUUCUUUCAGGUUUCAGGAAACAAAUUAGAGUCAUCCUGAAAGGAGAGUCAUGCCUUUUUCCUGCUGAGGCUGCCCAAGUCAUCCAGUAUUUCCAUUAAUCCUUGGAUUAUCUAGGGAAUCCUGACCUUUGUUUUCCCUCACCCCUGUGCCUCACCCUGCCCUAGGGCACUAGAUGGAGCUCUAUGGAAGCAGUUCUCAGAGCUUGUGGAGGAUGGGAAAAAAGUAGCCAAGGAUUCGGGAUCUAAAUUUCAUAACUGGAACUGGACAUUGAACCCACUGAUGGAUGGUCUAUUUCUACCUCUCAAUGUCAUCCAAGGAGCUGGACCAUAAGGAUCGUCUAUAGUGUGUGAUGUAUCAGAGAGAGAAAAGCUCUCUGAUAAGAAAGCUCUGAAGUUCGUAUAAGAGAACAAAGAUGACAUUUCAUUUCUGCUUUGGACAGCUGAAUACACUUGGACAAAGUCUUUCCGUAUGGCCAGAGUCAUUCUCUAUGGAGAGGCAAUGGAAUAAUUUGAACAGCUUGCCUAGCAAGUAGAUGGAAAGAAACAGAAGGUUCUCACCGUGGAAAAUGUUGAUAAGAAGAAUGGUCAGGUUCAUGUCUCUGUUGCCCAUCCUAACUGAAUGAUCUCUUUAGUAUCUACUUUAAUAUUCAUUCUAAAUAAAGCCUCAAUGGUGUUAUCACAUAU
rnacentral:lncRNA from 1 species